GCCCGGAUGGCGGAAUUGGUAGACGCGCUGGUCUCAAACACCAGUAACGCAAGUUGUGCCGGUUCGACCCCGGCUCCGGGUA
rnacentral:tRNA from 1 species